GAUGAACGCUGGCGGCGUGCCUAACACAUGCAAGUCGAGCGAGAAAUCUUUAAACAAAUCUUCGGAAGAGUGAUGAGAUGGAAAGCGGCGGACGGGAGAGUAACGCGUAGGCAACCUGCCCCAUACAGAGGGAUAGCCUCGGGAAACCGGGAUUAAAACCUCAUAACACGGAUGAUUCACAUGUUUCUUUCGUCAAAGAUUUAUCGGUAUGGGAUGGGCCUGCGUCUGAUUAGCUAGUUGGUAAGGUAACGGCUUACCAAGGCAACGAUCAGUAGCCGACCUGAGAGGGUAAUCGGCCACAUUGGAACUGAGACACGGUCCAAACUCCUACGGGAGGCAGCAGUGGGGAAUAUUGCACAAUGGGCGAAAGCCUGAUGCAGCAACGCCGCGUGAGCGAUGAAGGCCUUUGGGUCGUAAAGCUCUGUCCUUGGGGAAGAAAAAAAUGACGGUACCCUUGGAGGAAGCCCCGGCUAACUACGUGCCAGCCGCCGCGGUAA
rnacentral:rRNA from 1 species